rnacentral:rRNA from 1 species
UACGAAGGGGGCGAGCGUUGUCCGGAUUUAUUGGGCGUAAAGCGCGCGCAGGCGGUUCGGAAAGUCGGGUGUGAAAACUCGGGGCUCAACCCCGAGCCUGCAGUCGAUACGGGCAGACUAGAGUGCUGUAGGGGAGACUGGAAUUCCUGGUGUAGCGGUGAAAUGCGCAGAUAUCAGGAAGAACACCCGUGGCGAAGGCGGUUCUCUGGGACGGUACUGACGCUGAGACGCGAAAGCGUGGGGAGCGAACAGG